CUGAAACCUCCAUGACUCUGAAGCUUACUGACCCAAGGCAAAGGAGAAUAGUCACCCGGGCUUUUGGGUAAUGUCUCUCAUUUAUCGCAUCGAGGGCUAAUAAGGUUGGGGCGACGCAGAAUGUCUUCUACAUAGACGAUACCUCUUCUGUUUAUGACAACUAGGCCAUGAGGCUUGUUGUUCUUUAUCAAAUGGUGGAUGGGAUGUAAAGCAACAGUUUUCAGUGGGCAGAGUCAUCCUGCGUUGUGUUGGACUGAAAACACAGACCGCUUAACAUUUCCGACCCCAAUAAAUGCCCCUUGCUUCAUCCAUCCAGCCUCCACGCAGAAAUCUGAACGGCAACCCCCCCCGCCCCCCGCCAUAUUUCCAGAUGCUCUUUGGGUGGAAUGCAGUGGGAGGUGGUACCAUAUGGCUGGUGGUACCAUCCAUAGUUGGAGAUGAGACAGAGGAGUGAUGGGAGAGAAACGUACGCUGACCGGUUACUGGGAGAUUGUACGCUGAAGGGAUUUGAAGAAGAAAGGAAAGUGAGUUGGCCAGCGUUCUGACCUUUGAUGCCUCUGCACGUUUAGGACUCUGGAGGCUGCCAUGAUCAACCUGGGAUGUAGCUACGUCAGUCAGGAGGGGAGUGGGUGGGGGUCUGAACUUCAAACGGGAGAGGUGACUCUGCAGUACAGGUUGUAUUGGAACAGCCGAGGGAUUGGAGGAAGGAUGCUGUGGCCAGUUCGGGGUUCUAUAGGAUAAAAAAAGAGCUGAGGUGGAUCAGAGUCGGCCAGAGAGGGCUUCUGGGACUUCUUGGUCAAGGAAGCAAGCUGAGACAAACCAGAUGGCUGAAGACUCAAGUGAUGAAUGCUGGCAGCGCAGCACUUUUUGGUCAUCGCCAACCAAAUUUUAUGUUGCCACUUGCCCCGCGAUAGAAUCAAGAUCGUCUCCAUCUCCCUGACACCACAAAGCGAGUAAGAGAGCAAGGAUGGGCACGUGGCAGAGAGAGAGGGAGACAGAGGAUCUGAAGCAGGCUCCACGCUGAGAGAAUCACGAAGAAGAAAGGUCUACAACAGUACUUCUGUGUUGUAUUAAGAACCAAUCGAAUAUUACUGGAGGGAGUGUACCAGAACUGAUUAAAACCUGCCAGCAUUUUCACCCAAAUGUGCCUUGAAGUCAAGUAAUAUGAAUGACCCAUGGGUUCCUUUAUUUUUAUUUCGGAUCAUUUUAUUUUCCUUAUGACCACAGGAGAAAUCUACAAGAACUUCCUCCUGGAGAACUUUAAUAACAAGAACUGAUUCAUCUUUUAUGAGAGAAGCUGUCAACAUGGCAGAAAGC